UGUGAUUUGUGGCUUCUAUGGACCACUUU
rnacentral:piRNA from 1 species